UUAAGCAUCCUCUGGGCUCCUCAGGUGCUUUAAAUACCACAGUGUACACAGCCCUCAGAGAGGAUAAAGAAUGUUCAUAAAGUAGCACUUCCAAGUGAUUCUUUUUUUCUGUUACAGCCAUCUUUUGAUCUCAGGGCUGAGGAGAGAAACCCAGAAGAGGCAACAUCCUGUCUCCAAGCACCUGCAGGCCAUACCAGGAAGGAGCAAGCUGCGCUAAGGGGAGGUGGUGAUGACACGCUGGAGUAUAACAGAAGGUGUAAUGAAUAAAACAUGUCAUUUAAGCUCAAUGUUGAGGAUUGAAAAGGUGCCUGGACUCAGAAAUAGACCAUGAGGGGGAUACUUCCAAAGAAACACAUUCCUCUGCUUCAGACUCAGGAUCCUGGCAGGUGAGCUAAGAACGAAUGUUUUAACGGGGGCGCCUGGAGCGAGUCAGGCAUGUUUCAGUUGGAGAAGGACUGCUUUUGGACCACUCUACUGUUAUCUCCACGACUGCGACAAACAGC